CAGAACCUAAGCUCUGCUUCUCAAGUCUCUCUUGGGCCUUCUCCAGCACCAACUGCAAAUACCUUCCCUGUGCCUCUAUUCGUACUUCACAUUGUGGCAUAUUUCCAACCACCUUCCUAAUUGGAUGAAUCACAAGAAUCAAGCAAUUGCAAAGGAGUUCUAUCUUUCUAUCAAUAGAAAAACUUUUAUUUGCAGGGGAGCUGUCAAAGAAGCAUCUGGCCAUCCAAACAAGUUCUUUAAUGUUUUGGGUUCUCAAUGGUGUGUACCAUUUCAGACCGUUCACAGAGAGGAAUGGUGAGGUCCCGAGUAGACUUCAGGUCACAGAAUGCUGUUCCAGAUUUAAAUAAAAGAUCAUGAAUGAAUGAUUCUUUGGCAGUCAGUCAUGCAGCUAAGUGGUCAUCACAAACUCCACCCGGUUUGCGUACCUUACAUGAGCCGUCAGCGGGUCCACUUUUCCCCGAAUGACAAGACGAGCAGGUAGUCGAGUGGUACCCAAACGGGCCGUUGUUAUUGCAACCUCUUCCGCCUCGCAACCCGCGGGUUCGCUCGGUGGGAUGGGAUCUUUUUCGCGAAUGCCGGAGAAGGAAGGCGUCGGGGAGGCGGCGGAAGACGAAGAUCGUGUACGACUUGGGCCCUGCGUCGAGGUCGAUUAGGGUGAACGUUGCCCAGGAUCAACUUUUAUUCCGCCGUUCCCGCUCCAUUCACCGGGAAAGACCCUAGACAAUCUCCGCAGAGCCCUGGAGAAUACCGGCUUUCUCUGCGCCGCCAUUCUCGACGCAAAGGGUCCAGGUUCCAAAUGGAUUUUCCAAAGGUGGCAAAUGUAUCCAUUUGAAAAAGUGUCAACAAAUCACCGUCGCUAUUGGUUACCGCAUUAAGGGUGACGAUACCAUGAUAGCCAUGAGCUACAGAAACUUGGCUGAGGAUUUGGAGCCAGACUGUCACAUUAUAUGCUAUUGAGGCUAUUGCACUUGUGGUUCUUUCUGUGAGUAGUUAGGGCUGGUCAGUUGCUCCGUUAGAAUUCUGCAAUUCUUGGAGAGAGAGAAAACAUAAAUCUUCCAGGUGUUGUGAUCUUUUUGCACCAAUAGAGAAGGAAAAGGAGAAUAUCCUAGAAAAGGGACAUCCCAAACAAAAUUGGCAUGAUUGCCUUCUCCCUUAUAACCAGAGGUUCCAACUUUCUGAAGUUUGGAAAGGCUGGGAAUCAAGAAGGGGUAGCCAAUUUUGAUGCUACUCUUGUGAAUUUUUAUGGUUGCACGGAGAGAUUUGAGAAUAGAAAUUCCUUUUGAAAAGAUAUAAUAUGCUUGAAAUUUGAUGUCCCCCUUCAAGCAGAAGCAACUGUUGUAGCUAAUGCUGUUCUUGAUUGCAGUGACUGAGACGUGCUCAGUGGUGAAACAGCUGGAGGUGCUUACCUGAAACUAGCAAUUCAGAUUGCUUGGAAGAAGUCUCUUUUAUGGAUCAUGGAUCUGUUUUAAAGGAAUCAUGGCAGAACACCUGUUCAUAUGAGUCCUGUUGAGAGCCUUGCAUCAUAGUUUGUCUGAAAUGCUAAUCCUACCAAGGCAUCUCUCGUCUUGGUCCUGACCAGAAGAGGGAGUUUUCUAAACUAGCAAAAUACAGGCCAGCAAUGCCAAUACUAUCUGUAGUGGUUCCCUGGUUGAUAGAUUUCUUUUCGGACUGGUACCAGGUAUUGAUCUCUGCAAUUUCCAAGGCCUCAGACACUGAAUUUGUUAUACAGCAUGCAAAGGCCAAAUCCAGAUAAACAAUUGUGACACUGCAUUGAAUUGGAGUUGCAUCUAUGAAUCAGAUUUUGACACAAUCAAAUGAUUCAUUGAUGAUAGCUGAAAAAUCUCCUGUGCACGAUUUUGUUCAGUAGUAUUUAAGUUUCCUAUCAGUACACAAUUUUGUUAACUAGUAUAUGUCCCUAUUUUGAGUUUCUGGGUUUUGUUUCUUAGUAUGUUUUCUUAAGGUUAAUCUUUUAGAGGCAUGUGCUUAUGCUUAGCAUUCACCUACCUGGAGGGAAUUCUUUGAGUAUUUUGUUC